rnacentral:ncRNA from 2 species
CGCUUCGAGGAGCGUUGCGACAGCUUUCAACUUGAUGGCCGCCAGGCUCGAAGCAUUCAAUCGGACGGAGUGACCAGCGCUUUCAGACCAGUAAGCGCUUGUUGAACCACCGCAUCGAACGGCGCUCACGUCAA